GCGGCUGAUGUCAGCCGCGGCCGGCAGCGGCCCUGCCUCCUCCUCCUCCUCCUCCUCCUCUUCCUCCCGGCCCGCGGUGCUCGGCGCUGCAGCCGCACCGCAGCCGGGGAGGGGCCCCGGGCCGGUCCCCCGACACGGCGCUCGCCCGUUAACGCGACAGGAGCCAGCACAGCGCUGCCGCUCUCCGACCCACCCCCAGCAAAGGCGUCUGGUUCCACAAUAAGAAACCUCUGCUCUGGCUCCCUGAAGCCCUUUUGCCCUGGGGAGCCUGCAGCGCCGCUGUGAAAGCCCGUGAGCUGGGCACUCAGCCUGGCUCUGCGUAGCGCUGCUUAUCCAGCAGCACCACGUUAACCACCGUUAUCCUCACCGACAGCCCAGGGAAGCGCGAGCCUAAGUCACGGCUUUCAGCAGACUCCAGCAGCUCGGUCUCCAUUCGCGUCCGCCGCGGGACCCCGCGUUCGGAGGGACCGAGAGCCGUGCCCUGCUUGUUAGCGCGUUUCCCUCUGGGGACCUGCACAAAAGCCCCUCUCGAGAGCAAGCAGAGACGCUGCGCAGUGACAAGCCCCAUCAAUAACACCCGGGGAGCUAACCACAAAAGCCUCUCUCCCGAGAGCUAAUUGAUUGGGCAUUUAAAUCCAAAACAAAACCAAUAAACAAGGCUGUAUCCGUG